rnacentral:rRNA from 1 species
CAGCAGCCGCGGUAAUACGUAGGGUGCGAGCGUUAAUCGGAAUUACUGGGCGUAAAGCGUGCGCGGGCGGUUGUGCAAGACAGGUGUGAAAUCCCCGGGCUUAACCUGGGAACUGCACUUGUGACUGCACGGCUGGAGUGCGGCAGAGGGGGAUGGAAUUCCGCGUGUAGCAGUGAAAUGCGUAGAUAUGCGGAGGAACACCGAUGGCGAAGGCAAUCCCCUGGGCCUGCACUGACGCUCAUGCACGAAAGCGUGGGGAGUAAACAGGAUUAGAUACCCUGGUAGUCCACGCCCUAAACGAUGUCAACUGGUUGUUGGACGGCUUGCUGUUCAGUAACGAAGCUAACGCGUGAAGUUGACCGCCUGGGGAGUACGGCCGCAAGGUUGAAACUCAAAGGA